rnacentral:rRNA from 1 species
CCGCACAAGCGGUGGAGCAUGUGGUUUAAUUCGAUGCAACGCGAAGAACCUUACCUGGUCUUGACAUCCACAGAAGAAUCCAGAGAUGGAUUUGUGCCUUCGGGAACUGUGAGACAGGUGCUGCAUGGCUGUCGUCAGCUCGUGUUGUGAAAUGUUGGGUUAAGUCCCGCAACGAGCGCAACCCUUAUCCUUUGUUGCCAGCGGUUAGGCCGGGAACUCAAAGGAGACUGCCAGUGAUAAACUGGAGGAAGGUGGGGAUGACGUCAAGUCAUCAUGGCCCUUACGACCAGGGCUACACACGUGCUACAAUGGCGCAUACAAAGAGAAGCGACCUCGCGAGAGCAAGCGGACCUCAUAAAGUGCGUCGUAGUCCGGAUUGGAGUCUGCAACUCGACUCCAUGAAGUCGGAAUCGCUAGUAAUCGUGGAUCAGAAUGCCACGGUGAAUACGUUCCCGGGCCUUGUACACACCGCCCGUCACACCAUGGGAGUGGGUUGCAAAAGAAGUAGGUAGCUUAACCUUCGGGAGGGCGCUUACCACUUUGUGAUUCAUGACUGGGGUGAAGUCGUAACAAGGUAACCGUAGGGGAACCUGCGGUUGGAUCACCUCCUUACCUUAAAGAA